AGCAUAUCAAUAAGCGGAGGAAAAGAAACUAACAAGGAUUCCCCUAGUAACUGCGAGUGAAGCGGGAAAAGCUCAAAUUUAAAAUCUGUCAGUCUUUGGCUGUCCGAGUUGUAAUCUAGAGAAGUGUUAUCCGCGCUGGACCGUGUACAAGUCUCCUGGAAUGGAGCGUCAUAGAGGGUGAGAAUCCCGUCUUUGACACGGACUACCAGGGCUUUGUGAUAUGCUCUCAAAGAGUCGAGUUGUUUGGGAAUGCAGCUCAAAAUGGGUGGUAAAUUCCAUCUAAAGCUAAAUAUUGGCGAGAGACCGAUAGCGAAUAAGUACCGUGAGGGAAAGAUGAAAAGAACUUUGGAAAGAGAGUUAAACAGUACGUGAAAUUGCUGAAAGGGAAACGCUUGAAGUCAGUCGCGUUGUCCAGGAAUCAACCUUGCUUUUGCUUGGUGUACUUUCUGGUUAACGGGUCAGCAUCAAUUUUGACUAUUGGAAAAAGAUUAGGGGAAUGUGGCAUCUUCGGAUGUGUUAUAGCCCUUGGUUGCAUACAAUGGUUGGGAUUGAGGAACUCAGCACGCCGCAAGGCCGGGUUUUAACCACGUACGUGCUUAGGAUGCUGGCAUAAUGGCUUUAAUCGACCCGUCUUGAAACACGGACCAAGGAGUCUAACAUGCCUGCGAGUGUUUGGGUGGAAAACCCGAGCGCGUAAUGAAAGUGAAAGUUGAGAUCCCUGUCGUGGGGAGCAUCGACGCCCGGACCAGACCUUUUGUGACGGUUCCGCGGUAGAGCAUGUAUGUUGGGACCCGAAAGAUGGUGAACUAUGCCUGAAUAGGGUGAAGCCAGAGGAAACUCUGGUGGAGGCUCGUAGCGAUUCUGACGUGCAAAUCGAUCGUCAAAUUUGGGUAUAGGGGCGAAAGACUAAUCGAACCAUCUAGUAGCUG
rnacentral:rRNA from 1 species